AAAAAUUCAGACAUUUACUUUAAAAGCCAGUUACCCAAUAAUUUCAGAGGAACACAAUGGAAAGCCAAGAUUAAUGAAGCAUUGCAAACAGCAGAAAUACAUCACGUGCCCCAUCUAGAGGUGUGCCUUGGAAUUGUCAGUAAAAGUGUUCUCAUGUGAAUUCUAGGAACGAAGAUCUUUAUUGAAUUUCAACAGAACAUCAUGGUAAGGAGAGUGUGGAGAUUAGACAGUUUUACACUGAAUGGCACAAAUGGAAACUUAAAUUACCAAGAAUUUACAGGCUUCAGUUGUCUGCUGCUUUCUGUGUAAUGGGCCACGAAGCACACAAAACCCACCACCAAACUCACUGAAGGGGACACAAAGAUAGUUUCAGGUUCACAGGAAAGCUGAGCAGCAAGUACGGAAGGUUCUCACACACCUCGUACCCCUUGCCUGGACCCUCCAGAGUCCUCACCACGAAGACCCUGUACUAGAAUGGUACAUUUGCAGGCAUCUAUAAAUGACACCUUCGGAUCAUUAUUACUCAAAGUCUGGAAUUUACAGGAGAGUUCUUUCUUGGUAGUGUAUCAUCAUGGGUUUUGAUAAAUGUACAGUAACAUGUAUGCA